rnacentral:rRNA from 1 species
GUGUCAGCCGCCGCGGUAAUACGUAGGGCGCAAGCGUUGUCCGGAAUUAUUGGGCGUAAAGAGCUCGUAGGCGGCCUGUCACGUCUGCUGUGAAAUCCCGGGGCUUAACCCCGGGCGUGCAGUGGAUACGGGCUGGCUGGAGGCAGGCAGGGGAGAACGGAAUUCCCGGUGUAGCGGUGAAAUGCGCAGAUAUCGGGAGGAACACCGGUGGCGAAGGCGGUUCUCUGGGCCUGUACUGACGCUGAGGAGCGAAAGCGUGGGGAGCGAACAGGAUUAGAAACCCCUGUAGUCC